ensembl:snRNA U6 U6 spliceosomal RNA
UUGCUUCAGCAGCACAUAUACUAAAACGGGAAUGAUACAGAGAGGAGUAGCAUUGCCCCCACACAAGGAUGACUUGCAAAUUUGUGAUGCCUUCCGUAUUUUU